UGGCUCAGUUGGUAGAGCAUGGUGUGUGCAACGCCAUGGUUGUGGGUUCGUUUCCCAC
rnacentral:tRNA from 1 species